rnacentral:rRNA from 1 species
AUGAUUGCCAUGAUUUCCUCUAGUAUGUUGCAUCUUCACACUACUAGCUUGCACGACUUGAUUACUAUGAAUGCUUUCCAUGUUGCAUCCAAUUCUUGGAUUACUUGCUCCUAUCAUAUGUUUGGUUGCAACAAUGUCACUUCUUCACAUACGCCAUGUCCCAUUGCUUGUCACAUGAUUGACUUGUUUGCCUCUCACAUAUUGAACAAUUGCUCCUUCCUUUCUGUUGAGCGCCAUGAUAUCUUCACUACACCAUAUGCACAUUAUGCUUGGAGUGUCUUGCACUUGCCCCAUGUGUUUAGAGAUCUCAUUAUAUUUGGUGUUGUGAAUGAUUCCUAUGCAUACCAUAGACCGUUUGUUGAGUGCUCUAUGCAUGCUUGUUAUGACCUUGAGGUAGAUGCUUGUUCACUUGUCACACAUAUUAGCAUCUUCACCUCCCAUUUGCAUGCUUGUUUCCAUGAUGUCCUUGAUUGUGCUCAACUUAUAUGCUUAAAUGACAUGCCACACUUCUUUGUCACACCAUAUGCUAUGCUUGAUGACAACACUUGUUGGGUGAAUCACCUCUUGAAUGCUUGGUUUUGCUCUUACGCCAACCACAUUUCUUUUUCCAAGUGCUUGUUAUCUUUGCUCCUUUUGAAGGAAUUACAAUACGGUGCGACAUUGGAGAGUGCCAAUUUGAAACUACAAGAUGAGGAAUGCUUGGUGAUCGUCAACUUCUACACGGCAACAUCAUCUCUUUCCCAUGCUGAUUUGGAUUUUGAUCCGAGGUCGGAUCUUUCCCAAGGGGGAGGGGAUGAUGCAGAGCAUCUUAUGGACAUCACCAUAUCAAGUGUCCAUUUGGCAAGUGACAUGUGCCACAUCUAA